rnacentral:lncRNA from 1 species
GGAGAACAGUGGGCAUCUUGUGAGAUCCUCACCUGAGGGAAUGAACUUUGCCAGCGCCUCUGCAAAGGAAAACAUUUAGCAUUCUACUCGUACCGUAUUAUUCUGGAGUCUUACCUGAUGAAAAUAGCAAGCAAAAGUACCAAAGGACUGAAUUUCACAUGGAAAGAGAGGAAAGUAGGACAUUCCUGUGGCUUCACACUCAC